rnacentral:rRNA from 1 species
GCGUAUAUUAAGUUGUUGCAGUUAAAAAGCUCGUAGUUGAAUUUCGGGGUCAGCAGGUUGGUCGUGCCACUGGUAUGAACUGGUUUCGCUGAUUCCUCCUUUCUGAAGAACUGUAAUGUCAUUAAUUUGGUGUUGCAGGGAAACAGGACUGUUGCUUUGAAAAAAUUAGAGUGUUUAAAGCAGGCUAACGCUUGAAUACAUUAGCAUGGAAUAAUGAAAUAGGACGUUCAAACCUAUUUUGUUGGUUUCCAGGAUUGACGUAAUGAUUAAUAGGGAUAGUUGGGGGCAUUAGUAUUCAAUUGUCAGAGGUGAAAUUCUUGGAUUUAUUGAAGACUAACUACUGCGAAAGCAUUUGCCAAGGAUGUUUUCAUUAAUCAAGAACGAAAGUUAGGGGAUCGAAGACGAUCAGAUACCGUCGUAGUCUUAACCAUAAA